rnacentral:rRNA from 1 species
GAUGAACGCUAGCGGCAGGCCUAAUACAUGCAAGCCGAACGGUAAGUUGAAUAGCAAUAUUUGACCUAGAGUGGCGCAAGGGUGCGUAACACGUAUGCAAUCUGCCCUCAACAGGAGGAUAGCUCCCCGAAAGGGGAAUUAACACUCCAUAAGAUCACGCGAAGGCAUCUGAGAGUGAUUAAAUCUACGGAGGUUGAGGAUGAGCAUGCGGAUGAUUAGCUAGUUGGCGGUGUAACGGACCACCAAGGCGAUGAUCAAUAGGGGAACUGAGAGGUUUAUCCCCCACACUGGCACUGAGAUACGGGCCAGACUCCUACGGGAGGCAGCAGUAGGGAAUAUUGGACAAUGGGCGCAAGCCUGAUCCAGCCAU